ACAAGUAGUGAAGGUUGCUAGUCACAAUCACGUUAAGUAAAUUCUUGGCAUAAGUUUCAUGCAAAUCAUAGUUACGAAUGCCUUGUCAAUGCUUAUAGUUUUCACAAAGUUUAAUGAUCUUUGAUUGUAUCUCUAUUGUGCUUUUCACGUAGGGGACUUUUGAAGAAUGUUUUGAAUUGUUGUAUGCGUUUUUCCGUCCAAUUCAAUAACUUAAGGAAAACUUGAAGAUUAAAAAAGUGUUGUUCACGGUUAAUCUAAAGUAUUGAGAUUUACAAUUUAUUGAAAGAACAACUGAAAAUCAAUUUAGGUUGCAUAUGUGUCAUGUGUGGAGAAGAACCCUCUAGCUAGUCCAUCACCUAUCAUUUCACCUUAAUUUCAUGCUUUUGUCAAUUCUGUAAUUUAUUUAAGUUUAAUUUACUUCUCGUCAAAAC
rnacentral:lncRNA from 1 species